AACCAGCAUGAAUGUGAACCAGGGGACGGUGGGCAGCGACCCGGUCAUUCUGGCCACGGCUGGAUACGACCACACUGUCCGCUUCUGGCAGGCCCACAGCGGGAUCUGCACCAGGACAGUCCAGCACCAGGACUCUCAAGUGAAUUCACUUGAGGUCACACCUGACAGAAGUAUGAUCGCUGCUGCAGGUUAUCAGCACAUCCGCAUGUACGACCUGAAUUCUAACAAUCCAAACCCGGUCAUCAACUAUGAUGGAGUCAGCAAGAACAUCACAUCUGUGGGCUUUCAUGAAGAUGGACGUUGGAUGUACACGGGAGGAGAGGACUGCAUGGCGCGCAUAUGGGACCUGAGGUCAAGAAAUCUGCAGUGUCAGAGGAUCUUCCAAGUAAAUGCUCCAAUCAACUGUGUGUGUCUGCAUCCCAAUCAGGCAGAGCUGAUUGUCGGAGACCAGAGUGGAGUGAUUCAUAUCUGGGAUCUAAAGACGGACCACAACGAACAGCUGAUUCCUGAGCCAGAAGUUUCAAUCAACUCCGUUCACAUUGACCCAGAUGCCAGUUACAUGGCAGCAGUCAACAGCUCGGGGAACUGUUAUGUGUGGAACCUUGCUGGAGGCAUCGGCGAUGAAGUGACUCAGCUCAUUCCCAAGACUAAGAUUCCUGCACACAAACGCUACUCUCUUCGCUGCAAGUUCAGCCCCGAUUCUACACUACUGGCCACCUGUUCAGCAGACCAGACCUGUAAGAUCUGGAGGACGUCCAACUUCUCGCUGAUGACAGAACUCAGCAUCAAGAGCAAUAAUCCUGGAGAGACGUCCAGAGGCUGGAUGUGGGACUGUGCUUUCUCCGGAGACUCUCAGUAUAUUGUUACCGCGUCCUCAGAUAACCUGGCUCGCCUGUGGUGCGUAGAGACCGGUGAGAUCAAGCGGGAAUACAGCGGCCACCAGAAGGCCGUGGUGUGUCUGGCCUUUAAUGACAGCGUGCUCGGCUAAAGAGGACAAUGUUGGACACUCAGUGGAGAUACAAAACAGGACAGAAAAUGUUCGGUGUGACUAUUCUCAGACGGUGCACAUAAGUGUCGGAUCAGCAGGAGUGAUCGUCUCGACAACCCAGAAGCUUGUGUUUCAACGUCACAGUGACUCUCUGUGGCAGAUUCCUCGGCCCCCCCGCCUUCUCCUCAGUCACUCACUCCAACAUACUCUUAGACGAGAGGAAUUGGCUGCACUCCCCCACUGCAGACAAUGGACAAAGAGGUGAAGGCAGGCGCAGCUCGGAGAGUCUCUCUCAUCAGGUGAGAGGUGAUAUUCUGACUGCUGCUGCGUCCAGCCGACGAUGACAGCCCAAGGUGACUUUAAAGCACAGACAGGACUUAGAGGGAGCUUCAAUUUAAACUUAAAGCCACAGAGAGGUGAGUCAGAUUCAGCGGAAAUGGUUUGUUUUAUUGUGGCUUCAGAAGAGAUAGUGUUGCUAAGUCCAUACAUUAAUGUCACUGUGUUUCAGUUAGAAUAAUUAACACUGCAGACAUAAAAUAAAGUACAUGACAGAGCUGGGUAUCAUUGCACCAUCCUCUGAAUCUCAGUGCAGGCAUCAGCGCAUUCUGCUGAGGUCUUCAAAUAAGUUAAGGAACACAGAAAGCUCAAGUUUGACCAGUUCAGUGCGUCUUACUUGUCUUGUCUGCCUGUUAUUUAUAGACUUUGAACAGAUGUAAACCUGAGCGUGUAUUACCAAACUGUUGACACUGUGUGCUCGUUUCCCUUUUUGAGUUUGACUUGUAGUUGCUUAAGUGGAGAUUGCAUCACAGACAGAAUAAAGGCUUGUUGAGUACACAACUCUCCUUAAAAAAGGAACAUAAAUUCAGCUUUUUUUCGCCUCUUUAACACUUAAGUACAUUAAAACAAUACUGAGGCUUAUUGUUCUUCCGUUAUUUUCCAUUUAAAUUAUGUUAAAACUUGCUGUUUUAGUAAAAGACAAUAAAAUCUGAGGAGUGUCUCUAGAAACUUUGUUUCCUUUGUCACACAGCAGAUUACUGUUAUACAGAUGAUUUUAUCAUAUUGAUCUUAUAAAAUAAAAAAAUAUUCCUUUUUAAAAGACAGUGGACCCUGGCGUGUAAGCGGUUAGAUGAAUCUGUUAGAUCAUUUAGCAACAUGUCUCAGUCUUAUCCCUGCAGAGCUGGAAGGAGGUCCGCGAUGCUCUCCACAUAAUAAUCCGGCACCAUCCCCUGCUUCUCCGCACAGCCGCUCUUCUGGUGGGCUUCGGCGUCCGCCACGCUGUUGACCCCCGUCAGGGUGAGGAGGGUCUUCAGGCCGCAGUUGGAACCCAGCAUGAUGUCCGUGUCCAGACGGUCGCCGACCAUCAGGCAGCGUUCGCGCUCCACGCCGAACUGGGAGGCCACGCAGUCGAACAUGUAGUGGUUGGGUUUGCCCACCGUCUGGGCCUGACACUGGGCUGCCGUCUCCACGCACUGCAGCAGGCAGCCUGUACCUGAGGGGCAGAGGAGGAGGUGACUGUUUAGAUUUUUAUCCCUUAGAUUAGAGCAAUUUUACAUCACUGCUUUUGUCUGUAAAAAAAUUGUGUUUCAGAGGCAGCGUUAGGGCUGCACAAAAGACAGGAAAGAGAAUGGAACCAAAAUACUUUACAUUCCUAUUACCACACCUUUGAAAAUAUUACUCUGUAUUUCCUGGACAAAGGUUUUCAAGGAAGCAGACAAAUAUAAGAAGAUGAUAUGAGAGCAUGAUAAGCCGGUCUCCAUUCUCGUUUCAACUAUUCCAAUAUGCAACUUCCGAUCUGGUAGUUACAGGAAAAGUCAGGAGAGACCUAUGCUCAGUUUUUUUUUUCCCCACUUUUAAGGAAGCUUUAGUAUUGUUUGUGAAAACGUAAUAAAUGGAGAUUUAACUUCUUUUGUUGCAUGUAGACCAUAUUAGGCCAGGUCCGGAUGUAAACCACUACAUCUUGACGGGUCUAAUCUGUCCCCCUCCAGAGAGGUAGAGUAUAUUGUGAAAACUUCAUUCUAUGAGUGAAAAAAGGAGACCCGUGCUUUUGUUGCAUGUAGACCACAUUAGACCAGGUCCAGAUGUAAAACCACUACAUAGAGACUGGCCAAAUAUGGACUAGAUUGUCCUGCGAACACUACAGAUUGUUUAAAACACUGUCUCUGAUUCAUGAAAGUUUCAUUCUAGUUGUGAAAAUGCAAAAAGGGAGAGAUUUCGUUGAUUUUUUUGUACUAGAAAACAUUAGUCCAGGUCCAGAUCUAAGACCACAACUACUAUACAGGUACUGUCAAAUCUGGACUAGAUUAUGCUAGAGAGUCUUUAACAGGCAGUGUCUGAUUUCUGAAAGCUUCGUUUUGGUUGUGAAAAUCUUUUAAAUACCGUGUAUUGGAACAGUGGCCUUGAGUGAAAGUAAGUCUGCAGGGAGUGUUAAUCUGCUUAUGUGAGGUGUGGAUCUGUACCUGGCACAGCCUUCCCUCCCUCCAGAGGCAGCCUGGUGUCCCUGUUGGUCCCCACGAACAGACAGCCCUGCUGGGUCAGGUACUGCAGGGCCCGGUUCAGCUUCAUGUAGCUGAAGUGUUCAUCGAAACCCACCACCACCGCCUUCACCUCGGGGUCCAGGGGCACGUUGGCCCAGUCGGCCUGCUUCCCGGAGAUGAGGUCUGGUCCCACCCCGGUCUGCUGGAUGCCCACCGCCUCCAGCUCCUGCCUCAUUGCGUUGCUUCCUAUCAGGUACACUUUCCCGUCCACCUUGCAGACCGUCUUCAGGUACAUGGCGGAGCAGUACGCGGUGCCGAACACCUCCUCCUCCGUCACGUUGAAGCCCAGCGUGGUCAUCUUCUCGGCGUACAUCUUCCUGGUCUUGGUGCUGUUGUUGGUGACGAAGAAGACCUUCUUGCCGCUCUUCUUGAGCAGGUUGAUGACCUGCGGGGCUCCGGGGAUGGCCUGGUCCCCCCGCCAGAUCACCCCGUCGCAGUCGAACAGGACGCUGUCCACGGAGUCCAGCAGCUGCUUGACCAGAGCCCCGCUGAGCCGUGUGCACUUCGAGCCGGACAUGAGGGCGGUGGACGGAGCCGUUAAACACUGUCACACUGAAAACCAACACCAAACCGGUCGGUAUGUAUCGGUCCUGGACGUUACUUCACCCACAGAGUAAAGUCACGAAUGUUACGGUUGUCUAAAGCGGGGCAGCGGCGGAAAAUAAAACACCCAGCUGAACUCCAGCUAAUAGUAACAACCGGUCCAGACAACCGGUUCUGGUUU